rnacentral:rRNA from 1 species
UACGUAGGGUGCAAGCGUUGUCCGGAAUUAUUGGGCGUAAAGAGCUCGUAGGCGGUCUGUCGCGUCUGCUGUGAAAACUCAGGGCUUAACCCUGAGCUUGCAGUGGGUACGGGCAGACUAGAGUGCGGUAGGGGAGACUGGAAUUCCUGGUGUAGCGGUGAAAUGCGCAGAUAGUCAGGAGGAACACCGGUGGCGAAGGCGGGUCUCUGGGCCGUAACUGACGCUGGAGGAGCGGAAAGCAUGGGGAGCGAACAGG